GGCCGAUUUUUCGCCACCGGCGCUAGCACUGGGGAGCCUGUUGGGGAGAUGCUCUUAAAGCAGCGGAGCGAAGGAGGCACCUCUUGGCGAUUGCCUCAUCGUCCAUGGCGAUUCUGAUCGGCUCCCCCUCUUCUUUCUUCAGGUCCUUCGAUCUCAAAGAAAUUCACUAGGCAUGAGAAAAGAAGUUGGAAUUGAAAGAUUUCUGAUCUGUGGAUCGUCUCUUGUAUGAUCUUCUAUAGUUCUCCCCAAAUUUCUUGUUGCGGUUGUCCCUCCUUCCCUCUCUGCAAGCAUCUCCCUCAAAUCUCUCUUGAUCUGGCUUGAUUACAAACUUCAUAGGAUUUUGGGAUACUUUUAUUACUCCCAUGUUGAGGAAAUGAAUUGAUUUUGAUAAAAUUGAUGAUGUCUUCCUAGCUGUUCCCAACCAGACCAAUAGACUGCGAAACAACAAUGAGGAGAAGAAGGCCUUUUUGCAUCGGUGAGAUGUUGAACUAUGGAUAGGGCCGUGUGUAUGUUGCUUCAGUGUGUAGUCAUCUGUAUGAUAGGCAGUGUGUAUUUUGGUUCAGUUGUUUCUGUAUAAUCUGUAGUUGACAGGUGCUACUAUAAUUCCUAGGUUUUAUUACUGUAAUUCCAAGGUUUUCUUACUGUAAUUUCAAAGUUUA